UCCAGACUCCUACGGGAGGCAGCAGUGGGGAAUAUUGCACAAUGGGGGGAACCCUGAUGCAGCGACGCCGCGUGGGUGAAGGAGCACCUCGGUGCGUAAAGCCCUAUCGGCAGGGAAGAAACAGACGGUACCUGACUAAGAAGCCCCGGCUAACUACGUGCCAGCAGCCGCGGGAAUACGUAGGGGGCGAGCGUUAUCCGGAUUCACUGGGUGUAAGGGGAGCGUAGACGGCCAAGCAAGCCAGGGGUGAAAGCCCGGGGCCCAACCCCGGGACUGCUCUGGAAACUGCGGCGCUGGAGUACGGGAGGGGCAGGCGGAAUUCCUGGUGUAGCGGUGAAAUGCGUAGAUAUCAGGAGGAACACCGGCGGCGAAGGCGGCCUGCUGGACCGUGACUGACGUUGAGGCUCGAGAGCGUGGGGAGCAAACAGGAUUAGAUACCCGAGUAACG
rnacentral:rRNA from 1 species